GUGCCCGGUGCCUGGUGCCUGGUCCCCGUGGAGAGGACACGCCCCCACCAUGACCCUGGGCCAGACCAUGUGGCACCCUUUGUCCUAUGAAUGUGAAGGAAAGUGACAGGCGUCACCCCCAGCAGCAGCUCCGGGGACACUGGUCCACCCACCUCUGCCACCUCGCCGUCAGGGCCCAGCGUGGUGAGGAACAAGGGGCACGUGGAGCAGACCCACAGCAGGAGGGCCUCAGCCUUGGGUUCAGGAGCCACUGAGACCCGGGGUGUCUGCAGCACAGCCAUCCAGGAGCCAGCGCGGGCAGCCAGCGCCCACAGAGGACGCUCCGGACCAGGCUGGGCACAGCUGCCUCCGCAGAGGAGACAGGGAGGGCCUCGCUGGCUGGAGUCCUGCGGACGCUCGUCUUGACAACGUUUGCCCAGAAACAACCACUUGUGAGUGGGUCUCUGAGGACAGGGAUGAUGAGUCUGGGAACGUCCCACCCAAGCUAUGGCUGCGAGGCCCUGGUGGCCACCAGGGAAACACGAGAGGCAGCCAGCUCCUCGGGCAGUGUCCCUCUGCACAGGAGGCUGGCCCAGGGGAUGGACAGUAGGCAGAGCCCACCCUGCACAGGGCAGGGGCACACGUAGGAGCUCACCUCCUGUGAGGGAGAGCAGACCCAGCUGGGAACGGGGCCCCCCAGGGCCAGGCCCUGACCUGUCCAUCCAGCACGGGCUCCUGGCUCUGCUCAUUGUGGAUGCCCUCAGUCCCGGCCACUCCCUCAGCCACUCAGCUGUGGCUCUCUGUCCACUUUCCCAGCCUAGCAAUCGCUCAUGUUCUCCCAGUUACUCAGGAGUCGCCCACCGUGACACAGCAGAGCCGGAAGGGCUUCCGGAUAAACUGACCAUUUCUAAGAACUGCCCAGAGCCCCAGACUCCAGCCCCUGGGGUCCCAGGGGCCGAGGGCCGGUGCAGCCCCCAAGGGAGCAUGACAGACGCAUCUCUCCUCCCUGAGGCCAAGUCCCCGCCCUCCCUGACCCGGUGGGAGUAGCGUUAAAUGCUGUUUUAUCAACUUUCCCUCGGAGCGGAUCUCCCUGAUCCAGGAGCUAAUUGUAUUGACAUUAACCUGUUUGAACAGGGCUAACGUGUCAAUAAAUCAUUUUUUAGUAGCUCCUCUUAUUACAGCACUUUGUUAAUGUAUUGCACUUGGAGUGACGAAUAGCCUGAGAAAUCACAGCUUUCCUGUAAUGCACUUUGUCUUUUAAGACUUUUCUUCCCUCCUCCUAGUUCAGAGGCUUCUCAAGUUGAUUUAGAGGUGAAUUAAGACGAAGGCCAGCCGGGUGCUUUGCGUUGGCCAUAAUCUUCUGUCCCCUUCCGGGGCUCGGCCACUUGCCUGAACCCCCACCUCUACACAGCGCAAG
rnacentral:lncRNA from 1 species